GGCCUUGGGGGAGGGCUUACCAUGCAAGUCGAGCGGAGUGAUGGUGCUUGCACUAUCACUUAGCGGCGGACGGGUGAGUAAUGCUUAGGAAUCUGCCUAUUAGUGGGGGACAACAUUUCGAAAGGAAUGCUAAUACCGCAUACGUCCUACGGGAGAAAGCAGGGGAUCUUCGGACCUUGCGCUAAUAGAUGAGCCUAAGUCGGAUUAGCUAGUUGGUGGGGUAAAGGCCUACCAAGGCGACGAUCUGUAGCGGGUCUGAGAGGAUGAUCCGCCACACUGGGACUGAGACACGGCCCAGACUCCUACGGGAGGCAGCAGUGGGGAAUAUUGGACAAUGGGCGCAAGCCUGAUCCAGCCAUGCCGCGUGUGUGAAGAAGGCCUUAUGGUUGUAAAGCACUUUAAGCGAGGAGGAGGCUACUGAAGUUAAUACCUUUAGAUAGUGGACGUUACUCGCAGAAUAAGCACCGGCUAACUCUGUGC
rnacentral:rRNA from 1 species